GGAACCUGGGGGUAGGACAGACGAGGCAAGAGAAAAGGAGAUGGAAGGAUUAGAAGCGACAGAGACGAGAGAGGGGAGAGAGGAGAAAGAAAAAAAAAUUGUUCUGAUGGCAUGACACUCCUCCGUUCUUGGGCAGCCGGCAGGAGUCCCCCGUUCCCUGCUCCUCCGCAUCAUGGCGGACGGCAGCAGGCUCCGGCCUCCAGGUGAACGGCGGUGACUCCUCCGCUCCCUCACGGACGGCAGCUGCCCCUCCACAUCACGGGCGGCUGGCAGUGAGCUC